rnacentral:rRNA from 1 species
UACGUAGGGUGCAAGCGUUAAUCGGAAUUACUGGGCGUAAAGCGUGCGCAGGCGGCUAUGCAAGACAGAUGUGAAAUCCCCGGGCUCAACCUGGGAACUGCAUUUGUGACUGCAUGGCUAGAGUACGGUAGAGGGGGAUGGAAUUCCGCGUGUAGCAGUGAAAUGCGUAGAUAUGGGGAGGAACACCGAUGGCGAAGGCAAUCCCCUGGACCUGUACUGACGCUCAUGCACGAAAGCGUGGGGAGCAAACAGG